CUGCACAGCACUGGCUGACAACUGCUGUCCAGCGCGCUCCACGCCUGACUGUGAGGGGGAAUCGCUUGGGAGCACCCGUCACAUGCCCAGAGAUUGCCUUCCGAGGCUUUCUGGAGUACCGUGUGCCGUGUGCCGCAGGGAGGCUCAGGGCUCCUCCUUUAUUCUAGCCUGUUUCCAGCAACCCCCAGGGCAACGUCCUGACUCUUCUGUGUGCGUCUGCAGAGCUCUCCUCCUGCGGCUUCCUGCAUCUGCAAGCUUGUUCUGAAGGCCGAGAGGUCUAAGUGCGUCACCGUGUGCAUGGUCCUUUAACCCUUCGUGUCCUGCGCCGGGAUUGAAGCCUGAGAAGGAAGGCAAAUCAAACGGUAGGACAACAAGCCGCUUCAGUGUGGUGGUUAUAAACCACAGCUCCCUCUCCGUGCCCGCCAUCUGUUAAAAAUUGAUCUGCUGCUUUAAAGCUGAAGUAAUCCAGCGUGCCUGAAAGGAACUUUGCCACAAGAAAAAGGCUUCUGAAGUUGAAGUCGUUUCUCUUGUCUGGCCCACACAUCCCCCGUGCUAAGGGUAAAAGCACUCAGACUCAGCUCGUGACAGUGAAUUUGGUGAGGAUUUCUUUUUAUGUACAUGUUGUCAGUACAUGCAGUUUACAGUCAUCUUGGGGAGUGGUACAUGUGCAUAAUACAGCUUUUUAAAAAUUUCUCUUCCUUCUCACCUCUCUCCCUCCUCCUCCAAGUCCCCUUUCCCUGUGUUCGUUAGUGUUGAUGUUACUAAUCUUAGCUUAUGUUCAUGAUGUACAGUGUCCACACUCAUUGAGGUUAUUAGGUUCCUGUUCAUGGCAUCUCCGUCCUACUUAUUUCCCUUCCCUUCCUGUUCUCCUCUCAUCUCUGUUCUCAUGGACCCCUUUCCAUUCGCAAGAGAUCUGUUAUUGUGCUCUUUGUAUGUUGCCUUCCUCAAAUGAAAUACAGUAUUUAAACUUCUGUAUCUGAUUUAUUUCAUUCAACAUUAUAUGUCUCAAGUGUACCCAUUUUCCUAUAAAUGUCUUGAGUUUGUCCUUUAUAGCUAAGUAGUAUUGCAUUAUUUAUAGAUAGCACAUUUUCUUUAUCCUAUCAUCUGUUGAUAGAUAUGCAGGCUGUUUCCAGGAUUUUACUGUUUUAAAUUAUGCUGCUAUAAACAUUGGUAGCACGUAUCACUAUAGUAUGACAUCGUUAGCUCUUUGGAGAAGAUACCUAGAAGGAGAAUUAUAGUCUUUUGAGGAAUCUCCUUACUGAUUUCCAUAAUGGUUGUACUAGUUUGCAUUUCCACCAACAAUGUAGGAGUGUUCCUUUUUCACUUCAGCCUCACCAGCAUUUGUUAUUUUUUUUACUUCUUCUUGAUGGUAGCCAUUCUUUCUGGAGCAAGAUGGAAUCAAUUUGUGUACAUCAAUAAUGAAUUCAGUGAGAAGGAAAUUAUGAAAGCAAUGCCAUUCAUGGCAAUAAUUUCUUGAGUAUGACACCCAAAGCACAGACAACUAAAGAAAUUAGAUCACAAAAUUUCAAAGUUCUAUUGAUUAUCAGACAUAAUCAACAGGGCCAAAAGGUAAUCCAUAAAUGGGAGAAAAUAUUUACAGAUUGGAUAUCUGAUAAUGGGUUAAUAUUCAGAAUAUAUAAAUAAUACAACUACUGAACAGCAAAAAUGAACAACUAUAUUUAAAAAUGGCAAAGGACUUGAAUGGGAUUUAUUCAAACAAAGAUACACAAGCAGGCACAAAGCACAUGAAAACAUGCUUAGCAUCAAAUAGUAGGGAAAUGUAACCAAAACCACAAUGAGAGAUACUAUCUCAUGUGCAUUAAGAUUGCUACUGUCAGGAAAUAACAUGGGUUUGUAAGAAUGUAGAGAAACCGAACACUUGUAUUUUAUGCAGGAAUGCAAAAUGUUGCUGCUGCUAUGGAAAACAGCAUAUAUAUUCCUCAAAAAUUUAAAAAUAAAUCUAGCAUAUGAUCCAGCAAAUUCACUUCUGGGUGUACAUCCCAGAUAAUUGGAACCAAGGUCUCAGAGAGAUGUGAACACCCACGUUCAUGGCAGCACUACUGACAGCAGCUGAAAGGAGUACACAACUCAAGUAUCCAUCAGUGGAUCAAUGGCUAAAAAAAUGUAUAAAAAUGUAUAAAAAGAAAGUUGUCCAGCUUUACAAUGGAGGGAAACUCUGGUACCUGCUAUGACAUGGGUGAACAUUGAGGACAUUAUGCUAACUAAAACAAGUCAUCACAAAGAGACAAAUUUGCAUGGUCCCAUGCUUUGAAGAAUCUAGGGAUGCCAAAUUUAUAGAAACGUAAAGUGUAACGGUGGUUGCCAGGGAUAGGGAACAGGGUGUUGUGGUUUAAUACAGUGGUUCCCAAUCUUUUUAGUGCCAGGAUCCAGUUUUGUGGAUGAUAGUUUUUCCACAGACGGAGGAAGGUAGGAGGGUGGUUUCAGGAUGAUUCGAGCACAUUAUAUUUAUUGUACACUCUCUAUCAUUACUGCAUUGUAAUACAUAAGGAAAUAAUCAUAUAACUCACCGUGAUGCAGAAUCAGUGGUAGCCCUGAGCUUGUGUUUCUGUAACUAGAUGGUUUCAUUGUGGGGUGAUGGGAGACAGUGACACCCAAAGUGCAUUAUGUCCAGGCAACUCUGUGAUCUUCUGUUGGCCUCCCUCCAGAUGCAGCUUAAUUGCCCAUUGCCAAUCACUGAUAGGGUUUUGAUCUGAGUCUGCAAGUAAUUAAUUGAUGAAGGUCUAUGUUCAGUCAGACCUCUCUGCUGACAUUAAUCUGUAUUUGCAGCUGCUCCCCAGCACUAGCAUCUCUACCUCAGCUCCACCUCAGAGCAUCAUGAUUAGAUUAGAUUAGAUUAGAUUAGAACAGCAUGUGCUCUUCACAAUAGGGUUCAGGUCUUAUGAGAAUCUAAUGCUGCACUGAUCUGGCAGGAGGUGGAGCUCAGGCAGAAAUGAGAAGAAGCUGCAAAUACAGAAGAAGCUUUGCUCACUCACCCUCCACUCACCUCCUGCUGCAUAGCCUGGUUGGAAACAGGCCACAGACCAUUCCACAGUGGGGGAUUGGAGACCCCUGGUUUAAUGAGUACAGUUUCGUUUUUGGAAAUGAAAAGUGUUCUGAAGAUUGUAUAACAGUGUGACUAUAUUUAACACUGCUGAACUGUACACUUAGACUGGUUAAGAUGAUUAAUGUUAUAUUUUAUAUAUAUAUAUAUAUUCCUAUAAUUAAAAGGAUAUUAAAAUGUCAGGAUACAACAGCUGGCAUAAGCAAUGAUAAUCAUAAAAGAGGACUUCCAGAACUGCUUCAGAAAGUGGCAAAGAAGACGGAGGAGCUUGAAGUGUGUGUUGGGGAGACUCAGUCGUUUUCUGACCAGCAUCUGUAAUGGCUCCGUGAACUCUCUCAUGCCGGAGGCCCUUCAGUCUCAUGCGUUCUGGCUGAAGUGAAGAUGGAGACGUGGAGUAGGAAUGUCACGUGACACAAGCUGCAUGGGGUACAUGUAGUUGGGUUCUCAGAACUCAUCCUGUAAAGUUCUGAAUCAAUGAAAACCAAGAAACUCUUAUUUUUAACAGGCUUAGUUGGGAAUCAGGGCCAUAAGCAAUGAGCAGAUUUUUGUUGUGGGGUUCAGGAUCCCCAGCAUCCUUCAGGACACAGGCUAAGUCAGCAAUGUUGUUCAGGGCUCCUCUCCAUCUGUUUCCCCUCCUUCCACCCAAGCUCGCCUCACUUUGAGGGUUCGGGCUCUUCUCGAAGUUAAGGUAGAGGGAGUAUUUGUGUCCAUUAUCAGGUGAAGUAGACCCGUGAGAAAUUCCUAAGAAAAAGUACCAUUAAAAAGGUAGAAACAGGGGGCAAGGAUUUAGCUCAGUGGUGCCGCCACCUGCCUCGAAAGUGCAAGGUCCUGAGUUCGAUCCCUGCUACCAAAAAAAAAAAAAAGGUAGAAAGGUCACAGAAAGCAGAGAUUCCCAAUGAAUCCCUUUAUAAGGAGGAGGAGG
ensembl:lncRNA